ACGCAGUCCUGUGGGACCUGGUGCGAUCCGAACCGGCGUUGCUGACGCAGGGCAUGUGGGUUCAAUUCCGGGCCGCGUA
rnacentral:tRNA from 1 species